rnacentral:rRNA from 1 species
CAGUCGCCGCGGUAAUACGUAGGGUGCGAGCGUUAAUCGGAAUUACUGGGCGUAAAGCGUGCGCAGGCGGUUGUGUAAGACAGGUGUGAAAUCCCCGGGCUUAACCUGGGAACUGCGCUUGUGACUGCACAGCUAGAGUAUGGCAGAGGGGGGUGGAAUUCCACGUGUAGCAGUGAAAUGCGUAGAGAUGUGGAGGAACACCGAUGGCGAGGGCAGCCCCCUGGGCCAAUACUGACGCUCAUGCACGAAAGCGUGGGGAGCAAACAGGAUUAGAUACCCCCGUAGUCCCUGUCUCUUAUAC